AGUGAACGCUGGCGGUAGGCCUAACACAUGCAAGUCGAACGGCAGCACAGGAGAGCUUGCUCUCUGGGUGGCGAGUGGCGGACGGGUGAGGAAUACAUCGGAAUCUACCUUUUCGUGGGGGAUAACGUAGGGAAACUUACGCUAAUACCGCAUACGACCUACGGGUGAAAGCAGGGGACCUUCGGGCCUUGCGCGAUUGAAUGAGCCGAUGUCGGAUUAGCUAGUUGGCGGGGUAAAGGCCCACCAAGGCGACGAUCCGUAGCUGGUCUGAGAGGAUGAUCAGCCACACUGGAACUGAGACACGGUCCAGACUCCCACGGGAGGCAGCAGUGGGGAAUAUUGGACAAUGGGCGCAAGCCUGAUCCAGCCAUACCGCGUGGGUGAAGAAGGCCUUCGGGUUGUAAAGCCCUUUUGUUGGGAAAGAAAUCCAGCUGGCUAAUACCCGGUUGGGAUGACGGUACCCAAAGAAUAAGCACCGGCUAACUCCGUGCCAGCCGCCGCGGUAA
rnacentral:rRNA from 1 species